GGGCGAAUGGCUCAGCGGGAGAGCACUUGCUUUACACGCAAGGGGUCGCAGGUUCAAAUCCUGCUUCGCCCA
rnacentral:tRNA from 1 species